AUGGCGGCGGCUGUGUGGUCCGAGGUCGAUGGUCGCAUCCAGCUCGACGACGGCACAGAUCCAGAAGCCCCCGCCAUGGCCGUGGCCGUGGACCUUGAUAUGGUGCAUCCAUGGCGGCGGUGGUGUGGUCCGAUGUCGACGGUCACGUCCAGCUCGACGGCGGCGCGGAUCCAGAAGCCCCCGCCGUGGCCGUGGCAGAACUGGUCGCCGGCUAGGGAGACGCCAGCGGCAUGGGUAGGGAGAGGGAGAAGGCGAAGGUCGCCGGUGGGCUCUGCCGAGAAUAGAUGGCGCGCUCUGCCGGGAACAGCAGCGUGGGCUUCCUCUCCUCCCAAGGGGAUGUGGCCGCGCGAGCUCGACGGGGAUGCGGCAGCGCGAGCGGCAUGUCCUUGA
rnacentral:rRNA from 1 species